UACAGGGGGUGCAAGCGUUGUUCGGAAUUACUGGGCGUAAAGCGCGGGCAGGUGGCCUUUUAAGUCCUUUGUGAAAUCCCGGAGCUCAACUCCGGAUGUGCAUAGGAUACUGGAAGGCUUGGGACUGGUAGAGGCGAGCGGAAUUCCUGGUGUAGCGGUGGAAUGCGUAGAUAUCAGGAGGAACACCGGUGGCGAAGGCGGUUCUCUGGGCAUUACCUGACGCUGAGGAGCGAAAGUGUGGGGAGCGAACAGG
rnacentral:rRNA from 1 species